rnacentral:rRNA from 1 species
GAAUAUUGGACAAUGGGGGGAACCCUGAUCCAGCCAUGCCGCGUGUGUGAAGAAGGCCUUUUGGUUGUAAAGCACUUUAAGCGGGGAGGAGGAGCUCUUGGUUAAUACCCAAGAUGCUUGGCCGUUACUCGCAGAACAAGCCCCGCCUAACUCUGUGCCAGCAGCCGAGGUAAUACCGAGGGUGGUAUCGGUAAUCGGACUUACUUGGCGUAAAGCGCGGGUAGGUGGCCAAGUAAGUCAAAUGUGAAAUCCCCGAGCUUAACUUGGGAAUUGCAUUCGAUACUGGUUGGCUAGAGUAUGGGAGAGGAUGGUAGAAUUCCAGGUGUAGCGGUGAAAUGCGUAGAGAUCUGGAGGAAUACCGAUGGCGAAGGCAGCCAUCUGGCCUAAUACUGACACUGAGGUGCGAAAGCAUGGGGAGCAAACA